ACUUUUUCAACAAUUUUGUUUUUGACACAGAGAACUCUCUCUCGGUUAUUCUUCCUGAAAAACACUGAAAAGAAAAGCAAGUUUUCUUCUCACUCCUCUCUUCCUUUCUUCCCUCUCUCAAAUUCAAGCAAAGUCCACAACUUUUGCUUGAAUUCUCAAUCCCAAGAGAAUAUAGAAGGUUCUCUAGUAGUGGUGCCCAUUUUGGAAUUUCGGAUUGGAGUUUGAAAAGUUUAUGAUCUGGAUCGAGGGAUCCAAGAAGAAGGUAUUCUUCAAGGUUUUCAAGCAAGGUUUUUUUUUUAAAUGAGAGAAAUUAUUUUCUCUCUUUCGAUCUUGCCUCACGCACACGAAACGGAAAGUGAAGGAGGGGCGCGUCUCUACCCUAGCGUUGCUGGAGCUUUCAGUCGCCGUUGAAGUCGCCAUCUCCGUCUAGCCAUAGUUGCAUGAAGUCGCGCCGCCUGACGCUCCACAGACCCGUGCGCCACGUCUUUGUAGAGUCCCAGCCGCACGCCAUUCUAACCGUCCUUACUGUCAGUAUUGAUAGAGUAUACAUUUGUAACCGAAGAAAUCAUAAUCAAUAAGCACUAUAAUUACACUUAAUUUGAGUUUAAAAGUAUGUAUGAAAAUAAUUUUCAAGGAAAAGGAUUCCAGAAUACAUUAACUCU